GACGAACGCUGGCGGCGUGCUUAACACAUGCAAGUCGAACGGAAAGGCCCUGCUUUUGUGGGGUGCUCGAGUGGCGAACGGGUGAGUAACACGUGAGUAACCUGCCCUUGACUUUGGGAUAACUUCAGGGAACUGGGGCUAAUACCGGAUAGGAGCUCCUGCUGCAUGGUGGGGGUUGGAAAGUUUCGGCGGUUGGGGAUGGACUCGCGGCUUAUCAGCUUGUUGGUGGGGUAGUGGCUUACCAAGGCUUUGACGGGUAGCCGGCCUGAGAGGGUGACCGGCCACAUUGGGACUGAGAUACGGCCCAGACUCCUACGGGAGGCAGCAGUGGGGAAUAUUGCACAAUGGGCGGAAGCCUGAUGCAGCAACGCCGCGUGCGGGAUGACGGCCUUCGGGUUGUAAACCGCUUUCGCCUGUGACGAAGCGUGAGUGACGGUAAUGGGUAAAGAAGCACCGGCUAACUACGUGCCAGCAGCCGCGGUGAUACGUAGGGUGCGAGCGUUGUCCGGAUUUAUUGGGCGUAAAGGGCUCGUAGGUGGUUGAUCGCGUCGGAAGUGUAAUCUUGGGGCUUAACCCUGAGCGUGCUUUCGAUACGGGUUGACUUGAGGAAGGUAGGGGAGAAUGGAAUCCCUGGUGGAGCGGUGGAAUGCGCAGAUAUCAGGAGGAACACCAGUGGCGAAGGCGGUUCUCUGGGCCUUUCCUGACGCUGAGGAGCGAAAGCGUGGGGAGCGAACAGGCUUAGAUACCCUGGUAGUCCACGCUGUAAACGGUGGGUACUAGGUGUGGGGUCCAUUCCACGGGUUCCGUGCCGUAGCUAACGCUUUAAGUACCCCGCCUGGGGAGUACGGCCGCAAGGCUAAAACUCAAAGGAAUUGACGGGGCCCCGCACAAGCGGCGGAGCAUGCGGAUUAAUUCGAUGCAACGCGUAGAACCUUACCUGGGUUUGACAUGGAUCGGGAGCGCUCAGAGAUGGGUGUGCCUCUUUUGGGGUCGGUUCACAGGUGGUGCAUGGCUGUCGUCAGCUCGUGUCGUGAGAUGUUGGGUUAAGUCCCGCAACGAGCGCAACCCUUGUUCACUGUUGCCAGCACGUUAUGGUGGGGACUCAGUGGAGACCGCCGGGGUCAACUCGGAGGAAGGUGGGGAUGACGUCAAGUCAUCAUGCCCCUUAUGUCCAGGGCUUCACGCAUGCUACAAUGGCUGGUACAGAGAGUGGCGAGCCUGUGAGGGUGAGCGAAUCUCGGAAAGCCGGUCUCAGUUCGGAUUGGGGUCUGCAACUCGACCUCAUGAAGUCGGAGUCGCUAGUAAUCGCAGAUCAGCAACGCUGCGGUGAAUACGUUCCCGGGGCU
rnacentral:rRNA from 1 species